UUAAUAAAUUAGUCAAAAAAAAAAAAUUAUGGCUAAAAAGAUUGAAAUUAUUCCAUUAAUGACAAUUAUGGUGAUGCUAAUUUUGAUUUCUCAUUCAAAAUUAGUGUAUUCUAUAUUGGAUGAAAAAUGUUUUAGGGAGUGUGUUAGAGCAUGCAAAGAUCAAAAACCUCAGUGUGAUUUAGUUUGUGCAAAAGUAUGUGAGGAUCCUGGUCUAAUUAAUUAUUCUAAUCUUGGUUGUUCAGUUAACAAAUGUGCAAGUUUAAUCCAAGAUGACAAACAAUGGAAAGCUUGCAUGAAUGAUUGUUACAACAAUUAUUGUAAAAAAAUUAGAGCUUAGCCUUUAAAACUUUGUUUUGGGACUUUAACUUUAUAAAAUAAAAACUAAUCUAUGAAAUAAUUACCAGCAUUUCAAUUGUAAAUGU